AUUGAACGCUGGCGGCACGCCUUACACAUGCAAGUCGAACGGCAGCACGGACUUCGGUCUGGUGGCGAGUGGCGAACGGGUGAGUAAUGUAUCGGAACGUACCUUUCAGUGGGGGAUAACGUAGCGAAAGUUACGCUAAUACCGCAUAUUCUGUGAGCAGGAAAGCAGGGGAUCGCAAGACCUUGCGCUGAUUGAGCGGCCGAUAUCAGAUUAGCUAGUUGGUGGGGUAAAGGCCUACCAAGGCUACGAUCUGUAGCGGGUCUGAGAGGAUGAUCCGCCACACUGGAACUGAGACACGGUCCAGACUCCUACGGGAGGCAGCAGUGGGGAAUUUUGGACAAUGGGGGCAACCCUGAUCCAGCCAUGCCGCGUGAGUGAAGAAGGCCUCGGUUGUAAGA
rnacentral:rRNA from 1 species